rnacentral:lncRNA from 13 species
GGUGCCUGUGCUCUCACAUCUAGUUAUGCCACUUGUCACCUCCGUGCUGUCCUCAGCCCGCCUGGGCAUUGCUGGGUAUGUUUGUAGGGCGUGUCACUCAGGGACCUCCAGGCAUAGUGAUCUGGAAACCACGAAAUCCAAAUGGUGCAGCCAUAAGGAGCAAUUCACCUGCGCCUCCAAGUAACUGCCUGAAGGGGAGAACUUGGCC